rnacentral:rRNA from 1 species
CCCUUAGACGUUCUGGGCCGCACGCGCGCUACACUGACCAGUGCAACAAGCAUCCGUCCUUGGCCGACAGGCUCGGGCAAUCCUUGAACGCUGGUCGUGAUGGGGAUAGACUUUUGCAAUUUUUGGUCUUCAACGAGGAAUUCCUAGUAAACGCAAGUCAUCAACUUGCAUUGAUUACGUCCCUGCCCUUUGUACACACCGCCCGUCGCACCUACCGAUUGAAUGGUCCGGUGAAGCCUCCGGAUUGGCGCGCACCUCGGUGCCGCCGAGAAGUUGGCUAAACCUUACCAUUUAGAGGAAGGUGAANUCGUAACA